AUUGAACGCUGGCGGCAGGCCUAACACAUGCAAGUCGAACGAGUGGCGGACGGGUGAGUAAUGUCUGGGAAACUGCCUGAUGGAGGGGGAUAACUACUGGAAACGGUAGCUAAUACCGCAUACCAUCAGAUGUGCCCAAAUGGGAUUAGCUAGUGGGUAGGGUAACUGCUCACCUAGGCGACGAUCCCUAGCUGGUCUGAGAGGAUGAACAGCCACACUGGGACUGAGACACGGUCCAGACUCCUACGGGAGGCAGGAGUGGGGAAUAUUGCACAAUGGGCGCAAGCCUGAUGCAGCCAUGCCGCGUGGAUGAAGAAGGCCUUCGGGUUGUAAAGUACUUUCAGUCGGGAGGCGUUACCCGCAGAAGAAGCACCGGCUAACUCCGUGCCAGCAGCCGCGGUAAUUC
rnacentral:rRNA from 1 species